rnacentral:misc_RNA from 1 species
CGCGCUGGUCUCCAGUUCCCUGUGGGGCGGGUUCAUCGUCUUUUGAAAACUAGGGUUUCUGCAAAUGGAAGGGUUGGGGCAACAGCUGCUGUUUACACAGCAGCUAUACUGGAGUAUCUUACCGCUGAAGUGUUGGAGUUGGCGGGGAAUGCAAGCAAGGAUCUCAAGGUGAAACGUAUAACACCAAGGCAUUUGCAGCUUGCUAUACGGGGGGACGAAGAACUUGACACGCUCAUCAAAGGAACCAUUGCUGGUGGUGGGGUUAUCCCGCACAUUCACAAAUCCCUCAUCAACAAAUCCUCCAAGGAGUAGUCUCCCCUUUGUGUUUGUACCCUAAAAGCUGAUUUAAAAAAUGUAUGAGAAACAGUGAUAAGCGAGGAACCCAAUUGUGCCCUGACAAUUCUAGUACUUAAAUGUUGUUUGACAAGCAGUGUUAAGUUUUAUUUGUGUUGAUCUCUCUGUUUUUGAAUUUGUUGGCCCUUCUUUU